GACGAACGCUGGCGGCGUGCUUAACACAUGCAAGUCGAACGGAAAGGCCCUGCUUUUGUGGGGUGCUCGAGUGGCGAACGGGUGAGUAACACGUGAGUAACCUGCCCUUGACUUUGGGAUAACUUCAGGAAACUGGGGCUAAUACCGGAUAGGAGCUCCUGCUGCAUGGUGGGGGUUGGAAAGUUUCGGCGGUUGGGGAUGGACUCGGGGCUUAUCAGCUUGUUGGUGGGGUAGUGGCUUAGCAAGGCGUUGACGGGUGGCCGGCCUGGGAGGGUGACCGGCCACAUUGGGACUGAGAGACGGCCCAGACUCGUACGGGAGGCAGCAGUGGGGAAUAUUGCACAAUGGGCGGAAGCCUGAUGCAGCAACGCCGCGUGCGGGAUGACGGCCUUCGGGUUGUAAACCGCUUUCGCCUGUGACGAAGCGUGAGUGACGGUAAUGGGUAAAGAAGCACCGGCUAACUACGUG
rnacentral:rRNA from 1 species